rnacentral:rRNA from 1 species
AGGUCCAGCCUGCCCAGUGAUAAUUAUUCAACGGCCGCGGUACCCUAACCGUGCGAAGGUAGCAUAAUCACUUGUUCUUUAAAUGAGGACUUGUAUCAACGGCAUCACGAGGGUUACACUGUCUCCUUUUUCCAAUCAGUGAAACUGAUCUUCCCGUGAAGAAGCGGGAAUUUUUCUAUAAGACGAGAAGACCCCAUGGAGCUUAAAACCCAAGUGCACUCCUAUUAACUACUACCGCUUAAAUUAUGGAUUUUGUUACUUGGUUUUAGGUUGGGGUGACCGCGGAGCAUAACCUAGCCUCCACGAUGAACAGGACUACCUCCUCAUCUAAGAGCCACACCUCUAAGAAAUAGUAUUCUAACAUAAAAUGAUCCGACAAUCGAUCAACGAACAAAGUACCCUGGGGAUAACAGCGCAAUCCACUUCAAGAGCCCCUAUCGCCAAGUGGGUUACGACCUCAUGUGGAUCGGUAUCCUAGUGGUGCGCAGCUACUAAGUCGUU